GAUGAACGCUAGCGGCAGGCUUAAUACAUGCAAGUCGUGGGGCAGCAGGUUUGUAGCAAUACAGAUGCUGGCGACCGGCAAACGGGUGCGGAACACGUACAGAACCUUCCUUUGAGCGGGGAAUAGCCCAGAGAAAUUUGGAUUAAUACCCCAUAGUAUAAUGAAGUGGCAUCACUUUAUUAUUAAAGAUUUAUCACUCGAAGAUGGCUGUGCGGCUGAUUAGGUAGUUGGCGGGGUAAAGGCCCACCAAGCCUGCGAUCAGUAACUGGUGUGAGAGCACGACCAGUCACACGGGCACUGAGACACGGGCCCGACUCCUACGGGAGGCAGCAGUAAGGAAUAUUGGUCAAUGGAGGCAACUCUGAACCAGCCAUGCCGCGUGGAGGAUGAAGGUCCUCUGGAUUGUAAACUUCUUUAUAUGGGACGAAAAAAGGCUUUUCUAAGCCGUCUGACGGUACCAUAUGAAUAAGCACCGGCUAACUCCGUGCCAGCAGCCGACGG
rnacentral:rRNA from 1 species